rnacentral:rRNA from 1 species
GACGGGGGGAGCAAGCGUUGUUCGGAUUUACUGGGCGUAAAGGGCGCGUAGGCGGCCACCGCAAGUCAGUUGUGAAAUCUCUGGGCUUAACCCAGAACGGUCAGCUGAUACUGCGGGGCUAGAGUGCAGAAGGGGCAACUGGAAUUCUCGGUGUAGCGGUGAAAUGCGCAGAUAUCAGGAGGAACACCAAUUGCGAAGGCAGCUCGCUGGGACGUUACUGACGCUGAGACGCGAAAGCGUGGGGAGCAAACAGG